rnacentral:rRNA from 1 species
GUCACGCCAGUGGCAUUGCCGGGUAGCUACGUUCGGACAGGAUAACCGCUGAAAGCAUCUAAGCGGGAAGCCUCUCCCAAGAUUAAUUCUCACUAGAGCUUUAAGCUCUCUAAAGAUCCGUCGAAGACUACGACGUUGAUAGGCCAGGUGUGGAAGCACAGUAAUGUGUGUAGCUAACUGGUACUAAUUGAUCGUGAGGCUUGACCAUAUAACACCCAAACAG